CUCAUUGGCCCGCACUGGAGGAAGUGGUUCCAGGUCCUACUUCCGUCGGUUCUGGGAAAUACCCUUUCGUCGGCUUUUGCCCCCGCUCCAGAGAAAAGCGGGUACAUCUCGUCUGAUGUAAGCUAGGACCCACGGAGUGGAAGGAGAGAACCAAUUCCUGAUAGUUCUGACAUCUCCAUGAGGAUGCUGAGAUUCCAACAUACUGAAAGCCAGCCGAGACACCAGCCUUAUGGGGAUGAAUAACUACUGGAUUCUCAGGCCCUUCCGCUCACUUGGAUUCUUCCUUCACUCUUGGAUUCGCUGGACCACAGCUCGCACGUCAUCCUGAUAAAUCCCCUUUAUCUAGAUACUCGGAGAGGUUCAUUCUGUAAGUUCUAUUAUUCCAGAUAGCCCUGAUUUAUACCAAGAGCAAGUACUCUUAACUGCUGAGCCAGUUCUUCAGCUAAAGACAAACAGUAGCUUUAUAUGAUCAUUUUUAACAGCUAAUAUCUAAGUAUGUUUCUGAAAUGAACAAAUAUACUGCAUACAGUAAUCUGAAUAUCAAUAACUUUCUCAGUCUUAUCAACUUGGAAUUACGAAAACUUUUUUUUCCUUUUAUUUGUCCGUGGCUCUGGGACUGAACCUAGGACCUUGUGCACACCAGGCAAGGACUCUGUUACAGACCCAUAUCCAACUCCCAAAUUAUACAAUUUUCAUGUUUUUUCCUUCUUCCUUCGACCCAUUUUUCUUUUCUUUUCUUUUCUUUUCUUUUCUUUUCUUUCCUUUCCUUUUCUUUUCUUUUCUUUUUUCUUUUCUUUUCAUUUGAGGCAGGGUUUCUCUGUGUAGCCCUGGCUAUCCUGAAACCCACUCUGUAGACCAGGCUGGCCUCAACUCAGAUCUAUGUGCUUCCACUUCCCAAGUGCUGAGAUGAUAGGUGUGGGCCCCCACCCCCACUGUGUAUGUUGUGUGCACCUGCACUCCCACUCUGCUUUUCUUCUGCAUGGUCCAGUUCUUCAGUGCCUCCUGUUAGAUCCAACUGCUCAAUGCUUACGUCACUCUACUUGGUUGUCUUUUAUUUUUUUAUUUUUUUUUGGUUUUUCGAGACAGGGUUUCUCUGUGUAGCCCUGGCUGUCCUGGAACUCACUCUGUAGACCAGGCUGGCCUCAAACUCAGAAAACACCUGCCUCUGCCUCCCAAGUGCUGGGAUUAAAGGCGUGCGCCACCACACCCAGCCUUGGUUGUCUUUUUUUUUUUUUUUUUUUUUUUUUUUUUUUGGCAAAGUUUCUCUGUGUAGCUCUGACUGUCCUGGAACUCACUCUGUAGACCAGGCGCUGGCCUCGAACUCAGAAAUCUGCCUGCCUCUGCCUCCCGAGUGCUGAGAUUAAAGGCACGCACCACCACUGCCCAGCGUAAUUAAAAUACUUUAAAGCAUAAAUCAAAUCAAUAUACUGAUUCAAAAUGAUUAUGAAAUACACUAACAGUCAGUGAAUACAAAACACUACUGGUCAGAGUUCCAUGUCCAGCUGUAGGACACAUUCUCUUGUAUAUAUUGGAUUGCACUUGCUAGUCCUGAUCUUUGCAACUCAAAUGCACAUACAGAACUCAGGGUGCAUAACUGGUCCAAGACCUUUCAUGUUUACCGAAGAACCCAUAUAUUUUGUCACACAGUGAGAGAAAGAGCUGAGCUACAUAGUUAAGGUCUUCAAGUAAUGUUAUGUACAGUUUUAUUGCCAGUAUAUGCACAACAGUAAGCAUAGAGCUAUAAAUACACAAUGUCAUUAACAGUAGAAAACAAAACUGUUACAGUAGGGAGAGGGUGUGGAGUAAUAUCUCUUCUUGCUGCUAAAACGGAAAAACAAAGGAAAGAAAAAGCCUAUGACCAAUCAUCCAUCCAGUUUUCUCGGCUUACUUUCUUUACAUACAUUUCUACAUUUUUCCAGCUGAACAAAGUAUAGGUAACUCUGUAACAAUAGCAAACUGCUUCCCUAACAGCCAUUUGCUUUCCAGUCAAAUUCAUCUUAUGUUAGGAUUUAAAAAAAAAAAAAAAAAAAAAAAAAA